rnacentral:rRNA from 1 species
GAUGAACGCUGGCGGCGUGCCUAAUACAUGCAAGUCGAGCGAACAGAUGAGGAGCUUGCUCCUCUGACGUUAGCGGCGGACGGGUGAGUAACACGUGGAUAACCUACCUAUAAGACUGGGAUAACUUCGGGAAACCGGAGCUAAUACCGGAUAAUAUAUUGAACCGCAUGGUUCAAUAGUGAAAGACGGUUUUGCUGUCACUUAUAGAUGGAUCCGCGCCGCAUUAGCUAGUUGGUAAGGUAACGGCUUACCAAGGCAACGAUGCGUAGCCGACCUGAGAGGGGGAUCGGCCACACUGGAACUGAGACACGGUCCAGACUCCUACGGGAGGCAGCAGUAGGGAAUCUUCCGCAAUGGGCGAAAGCCUGACGGAGCAACGCCGCGUGAGUGAUGAAGGUCUUCGGAUCGUAAAACUCUGUUAUUAGGGAAGAACAAAUGUGUAAGUAACUAUGCACGUCUGGACGGUACCUAAUCAGAAAGCCACGGCUAACUACGU